UACAGAGGUCUCAAGCGUUGUUCGGAAUUACUGGGCGUAAAGGGCUCGUAGGCGGCCAACUAAGUCGGAUGUGAAAUCCCCAGGCUCAACCUGGGAACUGCAUCCGAUACUGGAUGGCUUGAAUUCGGGAGAGGGAUGCAGAAUUCCAGGUGUAGCGGUGAAAUGCGUAGAUAUCUGGAGGAAUACCGGUGGCGAAGGCGGCAUCCUGGACCGACAUUGACGCUGAUGAGCGAAAGCUAGGGGAGCAAACGGG
rnacentral:rRNA from 1 species